CUGGUAUUGAUUGGUGCUUGCAUCAUGAUUUACAUUUGAGUGAGUGGCGAACUGGUGAGUAACACGUGGGAAACCUGCCCAGAAGCGGGGGAUAACACCUGGAAACAGAUGCUAAUACCGCAUAACAACUUGGACCGCAUGGUCCGAGUUUGAAAGAUGGCUUCGGCUAUCACUUUUGGAUGGUCCCGCGGCGUAUUAGCUAGAUGGUGGGGUAACGGCUCACCAUGGCAAUGAUACGUAGCCGACCUGAGAGGGUAAUCGGCCACAUUGGGACUGAGACACGGCCCAAACUCCUACGGGAGGCAGCAGUAGGGAAUCUUCCACAAUGGACGAAAGUCUGAUGGAGCAACGCCGCGUGAGUGAAGAAGGGUUUCGGCUCGUAAAACUCUGUUGUUAAAGAAGAACAUAUCUGAGAGUAACUGUUCAGGUAUUGACGGUAUUUAACCAGAAAGCCACGGCUAACUACGUGCCAGCAGCCGCGGUAAUACGUAGGUGGCAAGCGUUGUCCGGAUUUAUUGGGCGUAAAGCGAGCGCAGGCGGUUUUUUAAGUCUGAUGUGAAAGCCUUCGGCUCAACCGAAGAAGUGCAUCGGAAACUGGGAAACUUGAGUGCAGAAGAGGACAGUGGAACUCCAUGUGUAGCGGUGAAAUGCGUAGAUAUAUGGAAGAACACCAGUGGCGAAGGCGGCUGUCUGGUCUGUAACUGACGCUGAGGCUCGAAAGUAUGGGUAGCAAACAGGAUUAGAUACCCUGGUAGUCCAUACCGUAAACGAUGAAUGCUAAGUGUUGGAGGGUUUCCGCCCUUCAGUGCUGCAGCUAACGCAUUAAGCAUUCCGCCUGGGGAGUACGGCCGCAAGGCUGAAACUCAAAGGAAUUGACGGGGGCCCGCACAAGCGGUGGAGCAUGUGGUUUAAUUCGAAGCUACGCGAAGAACCUUACCAGGUCUUGACAUACUAUGCAAAUCUAAGAGAUUAGACGUUCCCUUCGGGGACAUGGAUACAGGUGGUGCAUGGUUGUCGUCAGCUCGUGUCGUGAGAUGUUGGGUUAAGUCCCGCAACGAGCGCAACCCUUAUUAUCAGUUGCCAGCAUUAAGUUGGGCACUCUGGUGAGACUGCCGGUGACAAACCGGAGGAAGGUGGGGAUGACGUCAAAUCAUCAUGCCCCUUAUGACCUGGGCUACACACGUGCUACAAUGGAUGGUACAACGAGUUGCGAACUCGCGAGAGUAAGCUAAUCUCUUAAAGCCAUUCUCAGUUCGGAUUGUAGGCUGCAACUCGCCUACAUGAAGUCGGAAUCGCUAGUAAUCGCGGAUCAGCAUGCCGCGGUGAAUACGUUCCCGGGCCUUGUACACACCGCCCGUCACACCAUGAGAGUUUGUAACACCCAAAGUCG
rnacentral:rRNA from 2 species